rnacentral:miRNA from 1 species
CAGGAUGCCCAAUUAAAUUUGAAUUUCAGAUAAACAAUGGAAUAAGUUUUAGUAUAAAUAUUAUCUGUCCCAUAUAAUAUUUGGGACAUAUUUAUGCUAAAAAAAUUCAUUGUUUAUGUGAAAUUCAAAUUUGAUUGGGCAUCCUGUA